rnacentral:rRNA from 1 species
UUUAUGGAGAGUUUGAUCCUGGCUCAGGAUGAACGCUGGCGGCGUGCCUAAUACAUGCAAGUCGAGCGAACGGACGAGAAGCUUGCUUCUCUGAUGUUAGCGGCGGACGGGUGAGUAACACGUGGAUAACCUACCUAUAAGACUGGGAUAACUUCGGGAAACCGUAGCUAAUACCGGAUAAUAUUUUGAACCGCAUGGUUCAAAAGUGAAAGACGGUCUUGCUGUCACUUAU